rfam:Clostridium puniceum strain DSM 2619 CLPTN_contig000040, whole genome shotgun sequence.
GAGCGCCGUAUGAGUUGGAAACUCUCGUGUACGGUGCGGAGGAGGGGAAAAGGUAAAGAUUACUUCAAAGCCUUACCUAUUCUAU